GGAGAGUUGGCUGAGCGGUUGAAAGCGGCGGUCUCGAAAACCGUUGUACCCUUGUGGUACCAGAGGUUCGAAUCCUCUACUCUCCGCCA
rnacentral:tRNA from 1 species